ACUUUUUCUUGAUGUUUUUGAAGAGUUUAUUUUUCUGGAACAGUUCUUGGAAGUUCUCUUCUAAAAAUUCGUUUUUUUGGAGUUCUCUGCCCUAAAAUUCGGAUUCUGUAGCUUUUGGAUGUUCUCCUCGUGGCAGUCGCGUCCUCCCCUGAAUCGGUGGAGCUCGAUCGCCAACCAUGUUUGGAGUGCAAGAUUUCCUGGAUCUUUGUACAUUUUCUGCAAAAUUAGUUAUACAAGAAAACAUAUACAUAACUGACUGUCUUUUGAAGACUUGAAGCUGCAGAGGCAUGAUACAUCAUUACACAAAAAUGAGGAGGAACCUCCAAGGAAGCAGAAGAAGCUGCACUGCAGCACUGCAGCUCUCAAGGUUGAAUAUGCUCAUUCCAUCCACUUCUAUCUAUUGCAAAUUGUCCUGGUUUUACAAAAGAUGCUAUUGUUUCAUUGUCCUUUUCCAACGAUUGGAGCUGUAGUCUGCCUUUUGGCAAAAGGUGCAUUAAUUCAAAUUCUGUAUCAAAUAGUACAAUAAGACACUGAAGUUGUACUGCAUCAAACUGAAGUUUCUUCAAGGCCAUAUGCACAUAGAAAAGCCAGUAGAAAGCAAUGACAGGACUCUUCUAAUCAACAGUUCACUUCUGUUGCAGUGGAAGAACAGCACUGAAACAGCUGAAGCAGGAUCACCAGUUAUUGACAGCUCCUGAUGCUUCACUUCCUCUGGAGACAAAUUUCAGAAAUAGCAAGUGUUGGCUUUGGCUUCUUUCUUCAGUUUUAUUUGUAGAACGUCUAUCAAUAGGAUCUGACUGAUGAAAGCAAAUAUAGUGGUAAAAUGAUCAGACACUGAACGAUGUACUGAAGGUGUGCAAAGAAGUGAUGGUAAGUUGAUAUAUAUAUCUCUGUUGAUGGAUGGGAGUAUCCACUGAGAAGAAACAAGCAGCAGAAAACAGGUGGGAUGGAAGAGAAUUGUGUUAGUUUCUUGUCUAAAGUUCUAAGACCUCACCACUUUUGAAGGAAUCGAGAAGAACAAUUAGAACUCUAUUGACUUCGUAAAGAAAUCAAAAGAAGAAAAAGAAAGAAAAAUUGUGAUUAGAAACAGACUAAAAAGAGAACCUAUAAUGUUACAAAGAUCUCUUCAAAGGCUUUCAAAUGGAGUGGAGACAGAAGGGCAAGUUGCAUUUCAAGAGACCCUAGCAGAAAUCCACAUUGAAUUCACUUUCCAAUGCAUCUCGAGAGACACUGAAGCAGGUCUCUGAGAGAUCAUGAGACAGUGACCUCACUGGAAUUGGGUAGGUAUUUUUCUCUUGCCAAUGAUUAAACUUGUGUUCAUGAGUCUUCUCCUCAUUCAUCUGCAUAUGAGCUGGUGUUUCCACCUUACUCUGAGAUACCCAGUUCAAGUCUUCAUCUCCAAACACACUUUUCAUCUCAGAUCCUAUGUUGCAGUUCCAGUUACUGCUGUUGAUUGAACUGUCCUCGUGACCGAUAUUAUCCAAGGCACUGCCAUGAUCACAUAACUCCGAGUUGACUAAGCACUCAUCCUGCCCUACUGGUUCAAAAGUCUGAUGGAAUUGACCGUAGAUGCUUACAUUAGUCUCUACUGAAUCCAAACACGUCUGGAUUUCAAUCAGUGGGAAGGUGUCAAAGACUGGAUGCAACUGCAACUGCUCAAAAGCAGCACCAGUAUUAGAGCAAUGUGUUCUGGUCCCUUCUUCUUGUGCUGCUAUCUCACUCAGUGGCUUGUGGCUGCUUGGAUCGAUUCCCCGCUGCCGGAGUUUCUUUUUGAGACAUGAGUUCCAGUAGUUCUUGAUCUCAUUGUCUGUUCUUCCUGGCAAUUGUGAUGCAAUUUGUGACCACCUGAAACCACAAAACAUGAUGAAGUUUGACAUCGAGUUGCUUACAGAAUCUCCUCCAGGCUUGCCUGUUACCUGUUACCCAUGAUCUCGUGUAGCCUUAUAAUCGUAUCCUCUUCUUGCUGAGAGAAGUUGCCUCUUUUAAGGUCCGGCCGCAGGUAAUUGAUCCACCUGAGUCGACAACUCUUCCCACAGCGUUCCAGUCCUGAUAGAAGAAAAGUGUCUGAAUUAUAUGGAGGAGUUUGGAGAACAUGAAAGAAAAUUUUCAGCAACAGGGAAGAGCUAAAAAUGCCUGCUAAUUUUGGCACUGAGCUCCAACAGCCAACACCACAUCUGAUGAUGUGAUCAUAGAGCUUCUCAUCUUCUUCAGGAGACCACAAGCCUUUCCUUAUCUUCUGCUUGAGACAGCAAGAAUGCCGCCCCAUUCUUCAAAUGUUAGCACACCAAAGGAUGUCAGAAUGAGUCCUUGGAUGUGAAGAGGUCUUUAAGGAGUUGGAGGAUCUCAAAGGCAGGUGAGUUGCAGCUCAAUUUAUUAUGAGCAUGAUAUUCUUAAGGUUCAAGUUAGAUGGAAGACAGACAGACAGCGAGAGAAGGAAGCACAGGAAGGUGAAGCAAUCAAGUGGUCUUGAAGCAAGUCUCUAAUGUCCUUGCAUUGCAGUGGAUUGAGAUCUAAGAUACCUUCAGUGGUAGGAACAAGGUGAACAAAAAGAAAGAUUAAGAGAAGCUAGCAAUAUUUGAGAGAGCUGAGUCGGGAGUGAUGGAGGUAAAGAUAACACUUUUAAGGUAGUUGGAAAAUGACAUUUUCACUACCUCUAAUGGCCAUGAAGCUUCCUAAUUAAUCUGCAAUCUUCUCUUCAAAGAAGAAAAAAUUAUGUUCAUUACUGAAAGCAUUUUACAUAUCUGUCCUUGCUCCAGAACCUCAUCAGAGUCAAUGUGUCAUUCACUUGACAUUUUUCUGUGGUUUUCAUGAAAGCAAAUCAUGUCAGGAAUUACCUGCUCUUGGUGUUAAUCUAAGCUCUACGUGACUAGCUAUCCACCAAAAGUAAUAUCAGUGACUAUUAUGCCAAUUUUUACCAGGAAAAAGCCCUCCUUUAUGCAUCUGAUUCAAGCUGUUGUAAGUGAAAUCUUACAAGAUGCAUUCAAUUCUUCUCUUUUGCUCAGACCUGUAACUUUAUGUACAUUCUUUUAACUGAUGCAUUCAAUCCCAAGGAGCUGAUCAAGAUCUUCAUUUGCCUUGGACUGUAUCAGGGUUCAGAAUCAUAUGACAUGAUCCACCACUGAUCACAGACAUGACACAGAGAGCUUUGAUUUACUUUAUUUGGUGGUCCAAUGGAGUCCCUGUCAAAUGGCUUACGAGUAAGAAAGUUCUAUGAAAUCCUGUAGCAGAAAACAGAUGAAACCAUGUUUGCAAAUUAGUUGGUGAUUCCCAAACAAUGUAGCCAUAUGAAGAUCUUAGGUUUGUGACAGGGAGGGAUCAACUUCUGCUCUGCUUUAUUGCACUUAGCCAGCUUGUGAUAGAAACCAUAACAUUGAUGCAGCAAUUACAUUCACAUUUUUAACACUCCA